CCUACGGGAGGCAGCAGUGGGGAAUCUUGCGCAAUGGGCGAAAGCCUGACGCAGCCAUGCCGCGUGAAUGAUGAAGGUCUUAGGAUUGUAAAAUUCUUUCACCGGGGACGAUAAUGACGGUACCCGGAGAAGAAGCCCCG
rnacentral:rRNA from 1 species